rnacentral:lncRNA from 1 species
UACUUAACACAAUUUUUUUCCAGAGCUUAUUAUAUUAAGCACUAUGUUACCUAGAAUGAAGAAACAAAAAGUACAAAACUCCCACUCUGCAUCUCCAGCAAUUUUUCCAGUGACCCAAGAGAAGGGAUCACAGAGCUUAUUACAUUAACCACCAUGUUACUCUGAAUGAAGAAACAAAGAGUACAAAAUGUCCAAUCUGCAUGUUCAGCAAUUUUUCCAGUGACCCAAGAGAAGGGAUCACAGGUUUUUGGUCACAGUGAUGCAAAAGCUUAUCGAAAUGAUGAGAUGCUUCUUUAUCCUGGUGGAUGUCCUCAUGCCACUAUGUCUCACCCAUGUCAAGAUUCAUUCACGUAGGAAACUUACUUUACAUAACAGAUACACUUUUGGC